rnacentral:rRNA from 1 species
UACGUAGGUGGCGAGCGUUGUCCGGAUUUACUGGGCGUAAAGGGCUCGUAGGUGGCCAACUAAGUCAGACGUGAAAUCCCUCGGCUUAACCGGGGAACUGCGUCUGAUACUGGAUGGCUCGAGUUCGGGAGAGGGAUGCGGAAUUCCAGGUGUAGCGGUGAAAUGCGUAGAUAUCUGGAGGAACACCGGUGGCGAAGGCGGCAUCCUGGACCGACACUGACACUGAGGAGCGAAAGCCAGGGGAGCAAACGGG